GUGGACUCUCUCCACAGGACUGUCUCUUUACAGUGUGGACUCUCUCCACAUGACUGUCUCUUUACAGUGCUGACUCUCUCCACAGGACUGUCUCUUUACAGUGUGGACUCUCUCCACAGGACUGUCUCUUUACAGUGUGGACUCUCUCCACGGGACUGUCUCUUUACAGUGUGGACUCUCUCCACAGGACUGUCUCUUUACAGUGUGGACUCUCUCCACGGGACUGUCUCUUUACAGUGUGGACUCUCUCUACAGGACUGUCUCUUUACAGUGUGGACUCUCUCCACAGGACUGUCUCUUUACAGUGUGGACUCUCUCCACAGGACUGUCUCUUUACAGUGUGGACUCUCUCCACAGGACUGUCUCUUUACAGUGUGGUCCCUCUCCACAGGACUGUCUCUUUACAGUGUGGACUCUCUCCACAGGAUUGUCUCUUUACAGUGUGGUCCAUCUCCACAGGACUGUCUCUUUACAGUGUGGACUCUCUCCACAGGACUGUCUCUUUACAGUGUGGACUCUCUCCACAGGACUGUCUCUUUACAGUGUGGACUCUCUCCACAGGACUGUCUCUUUACAGUGUGGACUCUCUCCACAGGACUGUCUCUUUACAGUGUGGUCCCUCUCCACAGGACUGUCUCUUUACAGUGUGGACUCUCUCCACAGGAUUGUCUCUUUACAGUGUGGUCCAUCUCCACAGGACUGUCUCUUUACAGUGUGGACUCUCUCCACAGGACUGUCUCUUUACAGUGUGGACUCUCUCUACAGGACUGUCUCUUCACAGUGUGGUCCCUCUCCACAGCCCUCGGGGGUGAUCUGACUGAAAUUGGGGGUGAUCUGACUGAAAUUGGAGGUGAUCUAACUCAAUUCAGGGGUGAUCUGACUGAACUCUCUUUCCAGCUAGAUCCUCCUCUCUCUUGCUGUUUGUGUUCUCAGCAAACUCAGCAUUCUGAUGAAACCUCUGUUUUUACCAGCCUUGUAUUGAAAAUGUCCCGAUGGAGCUGUGUGUUUUUGCGUUUGCUUGCGUGCUCACCCAUGUGA
rnacentral:lncRNA from 1 species